AUUGAACGCUGGCGGCAGGCCUAACACAUGCAAGUCGAGCGGAUGAUGAGAGCUUGCUCUCUGAUUCAGCGGCGGACGGGUGAGUAAUGCCUAGGAAUCUGCCUGGUAGUGGGGGAAAACGUUUCGAAAGGAACGCUAAUACCGCAUACGUCCUACGGGAGAAAGUGGGGGAUCUUCGGACCUCACGCUAUCAGAUGAGCCUAGGUACGAUUAGCUAGUUGGUGAGGUAAAGGCUCACCAAGGCGACGAUCGUUAACUGGUCUGAGAGGAUGCUCAGUCUCACUGGAACUGAGACACGGUCCAGACUACUACGGGAGGCAGCAUUGGGGAAUAUUGUACAAUGGGCGAAAGACUGAUCCAGGCAUGCCGCGUGUGUGAAGAAGGUCUUCGGAUUGUAAAGCACUUUAAGUUGGGAGUAAAGGCAGUAAGUUAAUACCUUGCUGUUUUGACGUUACCAACAGAAUAAGCACCGGCUAACUUCGUGCCAGCCGCCGCGGUAAGAC
rnacentral:rRNA from 1 species